GGGGACGGUUAUCCGGAUUACUGGGGCGUAAAGCGUGUGUAGGCGGUUCGGAAAGAAAGAUGUGAAAUCCCAGGGCUCAACCUUGGAACUGCAUUUUUAACUGCCGAGCUAGAGUAUGUCAGAGGGGGGUAGAAUUCCACGUGUAGCAGUGAAAUGCGUAGAUAUGUGGAGGAAUACCGAUGGCGAAGGCAGCCCCCUGGGAUAAUACUGACGCUCAGACACGAAAGCGUGGGGAGCAAACAGGAUUAGAUACCCUGGUAGUCCACGCCCUAAACGAUGUCAACUAGCUGUUGGGGCCGUUAGGCCUUAGUAGCGCAGCUAACGCGUGAAGUUGACCGCCUGGGGAGUACGGUCGCAAGAUUAAAACUCAAAGGAAUUGACGGGGACCCGCACAAGCGGUGGAUGAUGUGGAUUAAUUCGAUGCAACGCGAAAAACCUUACCUACCCUUGACAUGUCUGGAAUGCCGAAGAGAUUUGGCAGUGCUCGCAAGAGAACCGGAACACAGGUGCUGCAUGGCUGUCGUCAGCUCGUGUCGUGAGAUGUUGGGUUAAGUCCCGCAACGAGCGCAACCCUUGUCAUUAGUUGCUACGCAAGAGCACUCUAAUGAGACUGCCGGUGACAAACCGGAGGAAGGUGGGGAUGACGUCAAGUCCUCAUGGCCCUUAUGGGUAGGGCUUCACACGUCAUACAAUGGUCGGGACAGAGGGUCGCCAACCCGCGAGGGGGAGCCAAUCUCAGAAACCCGAUCGUAGUCCGGAUCGCAGUCUGCAACUCGACUGCGUGAAGUCGGAAUCGCUAGUAAUCGCGGAUCAGAAUGUCGCGGUGAAUACGUUCCCGGGUCUUGUACACACCGCCCGUCACACCAUGGGAGUGGGUUUCACCAGAAGUAGGUAGCCUAACCGUAAGGAGGGCGCUUACCACGGUGGGAUUCAUGACUGGGGUGAAUCUAGCCGGAAAACCCCCAACAAAAACCCAAAAUUUUGUUUGCCCGGGGGGGA
rnacentral:rRNA from 1 species